rnacentral:rRNA from 1 species
UUCCUACGGGAGGCAGCAGUGGGGAAUAUUGCACAAUGGGGGAAACCCUGAUGCAGCGACGCCGCGUGAGCGAAGAAGUAUUUCGGUAUGUAAAGCUCUAUCAGCAGGGAAGAAAAUGACGGUACCUGACUAAGAAGCCCCGGCUAAAUACGUGCCAGCAGCCGCGGUAAUACGUAUGGGGCAAGCGUUAUCCGGAUUUACUGGGUGUAAAGGGAGCGCAGGCGGCUUGGCAAGUCUGAUGUGAAAUUCCAGGGCUCAACCCUGGAACUGCGUUUGAAACUAUUCUUCUUGAGUGAUGGAGAGGC